rnacentral:lncRNA from 1 species
GUCCUCAGCAAAAUCGCUUCCAGGGCUUGAAAGAUUAAUAGCAUUUCGCUUUCAGGCUUCUUCUCCCCAUCCAGCAGCUUGAAAAUUUCAGCACACUCCACCGAAAUCCUUAUGUAUCCCUCCACGACAUCGUAUAUUCCGGCGGACGGCAGCGUCUUCGCCGUGGAGAUGAAGGUCUCCAGACCCUUCCCGGCAGUGGCAGGGUCCCGCAGCAGCGUCUUGAAGCGGGCGCCAUUGAACUCCCCUUCCUCGCUGCGGGCUCGCUUGGCCGCCGGCGGGCCGGUCGCGGCCACACCGCGCCGCUUGGCCGCCA